rnacentral:misc_RNA from 1 species
AGUGCUUCAACUUUCCAAUUGAAUUUGUCAAUUUAUUGAUAUUUGACUCGCAUAAACUCAAUGCACGUAAACUUCUACAAUGUGAAAUAACAUUAUCAAAAGAUAUGUCUAACCCACGAGGAAGUUUUGAGAAAAACAGUGUCCUUAAACCCUUAUAUUUAAGUUGCCUCAAGCAUUCGUCAGAAGGCAGUCCCUCAAAAUACAAAUGUUGGACUCCAUCAGGAAUAUAGUUAGCAUUAUCAUUUGCCAUAAAGCAACUAUCCCCUGCUAUUGACCGUGCAAGAUCAUGGAUGAGAUCAUGCAUUUUA